AAAAAGCAAAAAGAACAAAACACCACCACACAAAAAAAAUAAAAAAUAAAAAAUAAAAAUGCUGCCCCAGAUGGUGUGCCCAUCCAUGUGGAUAAGUGUCACUGAGAAGACUGAAACACACUCUGUGCUCCGCAUCCUCCCUGCUGGACACCCAGCCCUCAAGUGACUCUCUGCUGUCCCUGGUUGUGCCUCCUGCUUGUGUCGCUGCCUGUUCUCCUCACAGUCUGCAAGCUUCAUUUGCUCCAAAGACGCUGUUCCUUUUCUGCUUGCUGCAAACCAGGUUGGACAGCAUGGCUGUCGCUUCUCAGCAGUUGUGCUGCACCUCCGGGUAGCUGCCCACCCUGGCCAUAGUUACUCUGCCCCUUCUGUUGACCAUUUGGCCACUGACACUGAUGCUGAAGUUCAUCUCUGAUUAAUAAGGGAUACUAAUGAAGUGGCUCAGUACAAUGCGCUCAGAUUUUGAGCUUUCAUACAUUUCUUGGACCCACGCUGAGGUGUAAGUUCAGGCAUGCUCAUUCUGUUAGUUUCCCUGGAUUGCUGAGUGUCAUGUGAACAAAAAAGAAUGAAAUAAUGUUGGGGACAGCUGAAGUGCUGCUUUUAUGGCUUCAGAAUUUCUAUCCCAGCCGCGUGGCAAAGGGAAUCAUCUUACCAGCAAUAAAGAGGGGCUGCUUUCACUGAACAUCUCCUACAUGGCAGUCAGAGGACCACACAGCAUGUCCUGUGGGACAGGAGAAAUAUGGAGAAUGCAGCACACUUGCUUCCUACCGAAGUAG
rnacentral:lncRNA from 10 species